rnacentral:rRNA from 1 species
GCUUAACACAUGCAAGUCGAACGGUAAGGCCCUUCGGGGUACACGAGUGGCGAACGGGUGAGUAACACGUGGGUGAUCUGCCCUGCACUUCGGGAUAAGCCUGGGAAACUGGGUCUAAUACCGGAUAGGACCAUUGGACUUCACGGUUUGUGGUGGAAAGCUUUUGCGGUGUGGGAUGGGCCCGCGGCCUAUCAGCUUGUUGGUGGGGUAAUGGCCUACCAAGGCGACGACGGGUAGCCGGCCUGAGAGGGUGUCCGGCCACACUGGGACUGAGAUACGGCCCAGACUCCUACGGGAGGCAGCAGUGGGGAAUAUUGCACAAUGGGCGCAAGCCUGAUGCAGCGACGCCGCGUGAGGGAUGACGGCCUUCGGGUUGUAAACCUCUUUCAAUAGGGACGAAGCGCAAGUGACGGUACCUAUAGAAGAAGCACCGGCCAACUACGUG